AAGCCCAGCUUGCUGGGUGGAUUAGUGGCGAACGGGUGAGUAACACGUGAGUAACCUGCCCCUGACUCUGGGAUAAGCGUUGGAAACGACGUCUAAUACUGGAUAUGACUACUGGUCGCAUGGCCUGGUGGUGGAAAGAUUUUUUGGUUGGGGAUGGACUCGCGGCCUAUCAGCUUGUUGGUGAGGUAAUGGCUCACCAAGGCGACGACGGGUAGCCGGCCUGAGAGGGUGACCGGCCACACUGGGACUGAGACACGGCCCAGACUCCUACGGGAGGCAGCAGUGGGGAAUAUUGCACAAUGGGCGAAAGCCUGAUGCAGCAACGCCGCGUGAGGGAUGACGGCCUUCGGGUUGUAAACCUCUUUUAGUAGGGAAGAAGCGAAAGUGACGGUACCUGCAGAAAAAGCACCGGCUAACUACGUGCCAGCAGCCGCGGUAAUACGUAGGGUGCAAGCGUUGUCCGGAAUUAUUGGGCGUAAAGAGCUCGUAGGCGGUUUGUCGCGUCUGCUGUGAAAUCCCGAGGCUCAACCUCGGGCUUGCAGUGGGUACGGGCAGACUAGAGUGCGGUAGGGGAGAUUGGAAUUCCUGGUGUAGCGGUGGAAUGCGCAGAUAUCAGGAGGAACACCGAUGGCGAAGGCAGAUCUCUGGGCCGUAACUGACGCUGAGGAGCGAAAGCGUGGGGAGCGAACAGGAUUAGAUACCCUGGUAGUCCACGCCGUAAACGUUGGGCGCUAGAUGUAGGGACCUUU
rnacentral:rRNA from 1 species